GCCCAGGUGGUGGAAUUGGUAGACACGCUAGCUUGAGGGGCUAGUGGCCGUUUCAGGCCGUGCUGGUUCGAGUCCAGUCCUGGGUACUA
rnacentral:tRNA from 1 species